rnacentral:rRNA from 1 species
CCUACGGGAGGCAGCAGUGGGGAAUAUUGCACAAUGGGGGAAACCCUGAUGCAGCGACGCCGCGUGAGUGAAGAAGGAAUUCGUUAUGUAAAGCUCUAUCAGCAGGGAAGAAAAUGACGGUACCUGAGUCAGAAGCCCCGGCAAACUACGUGCCAGCAGCCGCGGCAAUACGUAGGGGGCCAGCGUUAUCCGGAUUUACUGGGUGUAAGGGGUGCGUAGAGGGCAGUGCAAGUCUGGAGGAAAGGCGGGGGCUCAACCCCCGGAGUGCUCUUGAAACUGUACGGCUGGAGUGAAGGAGAGGUAAGUGGAAUUCGUAGUGUAGCGGUGAAAUGCGUAGAUAUUAGGAGGAACACCAGUGGCGAAGGCGGCUUACUGGACUGUAACUGACGUUGAGGCUCGAAAGCGUGGGGAGCAAACAGGAUUAGAUACCCGUGUAGUC